rnacentral:rRNA from 1 species
CACGUAGGGCGCAAGCGUUGUCCGGCAUUAUUGGGCGUAAAGAGCUCGUAGGCGGUCUGUUACGUCUGCUGUGAAAACCCGGGGCUUAACCCUGGGCUUGCAGUGGAUACGGGCAGACUAGAGGCAGGUAGGGGAGAAUGGAAUUCCCGGUGUAGCGGUGAAAUGCGCAGAUAUCGGGAGGAACACCGGUGGCGAAGGCGGUUCUCUGGGCCUGACCUGACGCUGAGGAGCGAAAGCGUGGGGAGCGAACAGG